GAUGAACGCUGGCGGCGUGCCUAAUACAUGCAAGUCGAGCGAACGGACGAGAAGCUUGCUUCUCUGAUGUUAGCGGCGGACGGGUGAGUAACACGUGGAUAACCUACCUAUAAGACUGGGAUAACUUCGGGAAACCGUAGCUAAUACCGGAGAAUAUUUUGAACCGCAUGGUUCAAAAGUGAAAGUCGGUCUUGCUGUCACUUAUAGAUGGUUCCGCGCUGCAUUAGCUAGUUGGUAGGGUCACGGCUUACCAAGGCAACGAUGCGUAGCCGACCUGAGAGGGUGGUCGCCCACACUGGAACUGGGACACGGUCCAGACGCCUGCGGGAGGCAGCAGUAGGGAAUCUUCCGCAGUGGGCGAGAGCCUGACGGAGCAACGCCGCGUGAGUGAUGAAGAUCUUCGGAUCGUAAAACUCUGUUAUUAGGGAAAAACAGAUGUGUAAGUAGCUGUGCACAGCUUGACGGUACCUAAUCAGAAAGCCACGGCUAACUACGUG
rnacentral:rRNA from 1 species